rnacentral:rRNA from 1 species
UAUGAGAGGCGCAAACGUUAUUCGGAAUUACUGGGCUUAAAGAGUUCGUAGGCGGCGCAGAAAGUAGGGUGUGAAAGCCCUCGGCUCAACCGAGGAAUUGCGCUCUAAACUACUGUGCUUGAGGGACCUAGAGGUGAGCGGAACUGAUGGUGGAGCGGUGAAAUGCGUUGAUAUCAUCAGGAACACCGGAGGCGAAGGCGGCUCACUGGGGGUCUUCUGACGCUGAGGAACGAAAGCCAGGGGAGCGAACGGG